AUUUAUAAAUUUAAAAUUAAAGUCUAAAGUUUUAUUCAAAUUUUAUUUAAAAAUUAAAUUAAAUCUAUCAAUUCAAAUUGAAAUUAAAAUUAUAAUUUUAUGUUUGAAUUUGAAUAAAUCAAAAUUUAGUUUUAUAUUUUGAAUUAUCCAUUCAAUUUUAAAUUUUAGUUUUUUAAAAAUAUAUAUUUAAAAUUUUGAUAUUAUUUUAAAAUUUUGACGUAAAUUUUUAAUAUUUAAUUUUAGUUUGAAUUUAAACUAAUAUAUUAUAAAGAUAAAAUUGGUAUAUUAAUUUAAUUACGUUUCUAAUACCUAUCUGAAUCAAACACCGACAAUGAAAGUGGUUCUUUCCGAUUCCAAUUCAAAUGGCGAACCAAAUAGAAUGAGAUUGAAUCAUUCCAAUUUCACUUCCAGCUUAUUCGCAUUCCAAUUUUGAUACCGAUUACGACUUUGAACCAAAUACACCCUUAUAGUCUAAAUGAAAGAAAAAAAUUAAAAUGAAAAUUUUUUAAAAAUGACCUACUUCUAGUUGGCCCCACACAUCCCCAACCCCACAGUUCGUUCCCCCUCCUGCUCCCGCUCUGCCCGCUACAUAGCUUCCAACUCUGUAGUGUUCUAGAGCUUUGGAUAGGAUUGACUUCAGUAUUAGUGACUGGUCAGCACAUCUGGAGAGUGUCGGACUGAGUCGGAGUUAAUUCUACACGAAAUGGAUGCAGAAAUAGACUCGACGCACUCAAAUAAGCAAAACUGGAGUUUUGCCAGAUUCGUGCGCCCAGAACAGGGUUUGGGCCGCCCAGAAGUUGAGUGCAGAACUGAGCAGAACUGGAAGCCAAUUCGGAUCCGUGUUUCGGGCGCCCGGAUGUGGGUCCGAAAAUCCACUUUGGAAGUAUCGUUUGCGCUGACACGUGGCUGGUGGUUGGUGAGGUUCGCUGGAGCAGGUUAUGGGCGCAGCACACCGCUGGCGAAGGACCCGAAGGUGAGCAAGUGUGUAGUCUGGAGGUUUCGGACACCCAGAGAAGGGUUUUGGGCGCCCGAAAGUGCCCGUUUCUGCAGAAUUGCAGGUUUGCAGCUGUUGUUCCUGAGGCUUAUUAGACCGUUCUAACACCCUAUAAAUAGGUAGUGUUCGACCACAAUGAGCUCUUUUCAUCUGUUCUUCACAGAAAAGUUCACUUUAACAUCUUAACCCUCCAAUUCACUCAAAUUGCAUCAAAGGUCCACAACUUCAGCUUGAGAAGUGCUGAUUUUGCAGUUUUCCAGCGACGACCUUCGGUGUUUUGCCUCGUGUGUGACGUAGGAAGGUCGGAUUGUGGUGAAACUUGGUUUGCUGGAUUAUAGACUUUCAGAGGAAUCCACAAAGCCUAGAAUUGCAGAUUUUGGUUGAGGUGAGCUUGGUCGAUUCCAUAUUUUUCUGGACUGCUGGUGACUUUGAGCUGAAAAUCUUUUUUUUUUCUGUUUUCUUGAUGCUAUCUUUGGAAGCAGGGGAAGUUUGGACCUAAGUUAGAUAACUUAGUAUACUUCACUGGAUUUGAGACCCUCCUCACCAGAUUUGGAUGUGAUUAGGUGAGUUUGGACAUUGGAGUUGGGUUAAUUUAAGCUUAAGUGCUAAAUUAUUGGAUUUUUGUCGAUUUCGACGCUAGAUCCUUCAAGUAUUCCAGUUGUUGAUUUGGUGUGAUUUCGGCUGAGUCUCAUAGCAGUUCCGAGACCUCCUUGCUGCCAGGAAAGAGCAUUUGAGGUGGGUUUUCAUCGGGUUAUUCCUAAGUGCAUAUAUAGUUGACGUGUAUGAUUUCCAUUAUUGUCUACUAUUCAGUUUGAUUGAAUUCAUUGAUUAGCUUUGGGCUGUAAUCUGAAUUGUAAAGCAUGCUGAAUGAGUUAAUAAAUUAUACUUGUUGGACUUGAAAUUUUGACUUAGGAGAAAACCAGCGUUUUGAUCCGUCAUAUGAUUCUACUACCUGAUUUAGCUCUAGGAGCCGUGUUUUGAUUAUAUCGCCGUUGUUUCAGCGCGGUGGGUACUCGGAGUAGUUUAGAAUGCAUUUACGCUCGUGCUGAGAUGCCGAGCUUGAUUUUACAGCAGAGUCUAAGCUGUUCCGGGCUGUCGGGUGCCGUCGGGGUUGACGGUGGACCCAUGUUUCUGUUAUUAGUCUCAGAUUGUGCCGAGGGCAUUGGGUUUGGUUUCUAAACCUGUUUUGACCCUAUCUACUUGACUUUGGCUUGUUAGAGCCUGAUUGAGCUCGACAGAGAUACGCUACAUACUCGGUUGGGUAGCUCCCACGAGUGCCACUCCGGAGAUGGGCGCUAUACUUUUGCGUUGGUGUCGUUCGUGUAGGUUGGACUUGCUCUCCACGGACUGGUUAGUGUGGAGGUAGCUGUAUAGUCACAACCGGGCGGGACAGGUGUGUUCACAGUCCCAGGGACGGGUAUGAUUACAGUCCUUAUUUGAGAUUGGGUUUGAGUUGAUAUUGUUCUACAGAGGGUUAAAGUUAGAGCAUGAUAGUAUAGCGAUAUUUAGCUGUAGAUUUGUUCCAACUUUCUUUACUAGUCCUGCUUAUCCCUGUAGACUUAGUGGGUGGACCGAUGAGUUCGAGGGCGGUACCCACUGAGGACUACUUUUUGUAGUAGUUCUCACGCCCAGUUGUUACCCUAUUUUUGCAGAGCCUUCUGUUCCGGCUGCUGCUUCUACCGAGACUGAUCGUUGCAAGGGCGUUGUGAGUUAGAACCCUUCAAGACGAGUAGCAGAGCUAGAGGAGCACCAGCUACAAGUAGUUGUAGUUUUUGGGUCUUUACAUACAGUUGUUGUAUCUUGCCAGAGCGAGUUUUUGUAUACCCUGGAUGACAUGUAAGUAUUGAACCACAGUUUAUAUAUGUGGUUUACUUUUCUAGCUGCUCUAUACUACUGUUUGUAGUAUUGUAUGAUUAUAGGUACUUCUACUAUUUCGCUUCGUAUACCAGAAAAAUUUCUAUGUAUACGGCGGGGUCUGUUAGCGAGCCCGGGAAACGAGUAAUCCGGGGCGUGACAAACUCCCAAUUCAUGAUAUUUAAUUAAUAGGUAAUUGAGCGGUCGUGAAUUAUUCACGAAUAAUAAACUUAAACUCCAAAAAAAUCACAUUUUAUUUCAAAUUUUUAGAAAAAAAAUAUAUACGGAUUAUUUUAUUCAUUUAUUUAAUAAUUCGUGAAUUAACUAACAAAGAGUAUAAGCAAGAGUUAGACCAAUUUUGUGUUUGGAUGAAAAUUGGAUUGUUACUGGAAAUAAGGCUUCGUUUAGGAUUACGAGAAAAUUGCGUUACGUGUGAUGAGAAAGUACGAUGAAAAAAUACACUUUCUUCUAGAGAAAGAAUGUGGAGAGUGAGGGAAAUAGGGGAAAUGGCUGUGGUUUAGGGUUUCACUGUGAAAAUCCUAUUAUAGGUGUGCUUCAAUGGCAACUAAACCACUAAACAAAUCUUACUUGCUAGCUCCUCAAAACUUGCUAUUCAUAGCAUUGAGUACCAGUAUGCGGCUUAAGUCUACUGGUACUUCAGCGGAGUUUCGCAACCAUUGGAUUAUGUAGUUUUCUAUCUUGUAUCAGUACUCACAAAUAUCAGUACUGAUACUUGAAAUUUUUUCAAACUUCAGUACCAAUACCUCUCUUAGUUCUGCAAUAUGCAAGAGUUUUCCUUGUCUCCUUACAAUAUUGUUCUGGUACUCCUUUCUAGUACCGGUACUCAAUACAAAUCCCUAAUUUUUACAGUUUUGAUUUUUCGAAGUCCAUUUUUCGCACCAUUUUCACGUUGAAAAAACACAAAUGUUUCCCAAAUACUAUUGAGGUGAUCCAAAUAAUUUUUAGUUACUAGUUCUUAUUGGAACUCCGAAUGUGCAAAAAUUCAGUAUAUUACACAAAUAUUCGAUUAUCAUACGAAAGGUCAAAACCCUAAUUUCCCUAGCAUGUAACUAAUUCACAUUUAUUUUAAUUAUUAUUCAUGGUACAUACUAAUAAACUAAGAAAUUGUUGGAUGAAAGGGAGAUCAACCCUUUUCGGUCAUAUUCCCCACUUUUGUUUGAUUCCCUCAAAGAGAUGCCUAUUGAUUUCUUGAAAACGCCAAGUAAUCCCUAAAAAUGGUUCAAGCAAAGUUAGAACCCCAGAAAUUCCUAUUUUGGAAAACCUUUAAAAUGAAUCCUAAACAACUAAUCUCUCCGCUCCUAGUACGAGAGAAAACGGUAAAGAGGGUUGCCUUUGAUCUUCUAGAGCUUCCUCUCGAAAUUCUAGAUCUCCUCCAAGCUUGCAAAGAGAUCAAUCCCAAGCUCCAACAAUAGGGGAUGUACUUCAUCGGUUUUUUAGGGCAUAUUUAGUUGCUCGAAAUUGGGUGAAGUGAAAAAAGUCACUUUUACAAAAGUGACCUUUCAGUCCGAUUGUUUGUGUCACGCCCGGGCCCCAGCUAAAGCUCUCUCAACGCGUACACAAACCCGUCGUGUACACCAAGCACCCUUGGUGCACACAAAGCGUCUACAACAAUAAGAAAAGAAGUAGGAAUAGAUUCCUAACAUGGCUACCUAACAUGGCUAUCAGAGCAAGUACAUAAAUCUACUAUAUACAGGAGUCUAGAAUAACAACACUAUCAUAAGAUAUACAAUAAGUAUAAACAAAUGGUACAUCUCGAGUACAUGUAGUUCUCUAAACAAAAUACAUUAUACAUCUUUCAGCUAAACCAAAGAAAGAUGUCAACGGGUUCAACUAUAAUAACACUGAGGAGGCUCUAGCUAGUCGAAAACCCCUUGCCACAAUCCCUAACCACUCCCACUGUGGAAGGCUCUGAAACAAAAACAAACAACCAAUGGGGGUGAGAACUAUUAAACAAUAGUUCCCAGUGGGUAACCCGCAGAGAGUGACGAAAUACACCACUAGGUCAACUGAGGCAUGAAGAUAUGUAAUAAGCAUUAAGCAUACAGUUAACAAUAAAUUGAACAUUCAAUUCUACUCAUGCCUUUACAUGAUAAUGUCAUUUAACAUGUAUGUGAUUUUCUACUGUCACAUGCAUAAUAAGUACUUAUAUAUGCAAGUCUAUAUGCAAUUUACAUGCAUAGGUAAUUUCACUUUCAUUUUCAUCAUGUAGCUAUACUUCUACAUUAAUCAACAUGUGUGUAUAGAUUUUCUACCACUAAGAUUGUCAAUGCAACAAUGAUUAACAUAAAUGCCCAACUACGAUGAAUAUAUUAAGUAGCUUCACAAGGUAAACAAUCCACUAGUAUAGCUAGUCGCUUUAUAUGCAUCAACUAAUUGUGAUGUAUUAUGUCAAGUUUUCUUAACUUUACCCAAUUAACGAGAGACUUACACAUAGCAAUGUCCCGGCUUGUGCCGUGCCUAAUGCCCCCAUGGUAGUCAACAUUCCCUCACUAGAAAUGAGCCUUUCUCACGGCAAUCCACUUCGGCACCCAAUCCUGCACGGGCGAUCUGUCGUCACAAAGGCUAACUCCAGAGUGCCGGCUUGUAGGGAGCGAUUAUCACAAGCUUGUGAGAAUGAGUACAAUGGCAAGCAAGCGUGAUCAUAAGCAUCAGGUCCAAAGACCACAUAUUCCAAUCAUCAUAUCUAAAACAUGGAAUCACAAUCAUCAACUCAAAGGUCAGGUACUAUUUCAUAUAUGUCAUAUUUCAUUCACAAUUAACUUGGUGGUAUGUCUCUACCGAUAUACAACACGCCUUAAGCAUGUAUUGGUUUACAUCUCACUUAUCCUAUCAAGGACGGUUCUCUAUUUCAUUCAUGAUCUAAAAAGGGGUUUCAAAAGUAUACUAUUUCCAUUUUAUUAUAAGGUGAACAAUUUACUAAUAUCACAUUCAAUGAGCUACGAGGAUAUCAACUAGAUCAUGAUUCGGGUCAUGCACAUGCCUUGCUAUGUAGGCCUCCACUACAUGGAGUAUGAUGGUUAUCAUGUAAGUAAUUUUCAUUCAACUAAGCAAUUAUAUGCAAUUGCCCUUUAUAUGCCCAAAAGCAUAGAAAUCUCUUUCGUCAUAUCUAAAACAUGAAAUGCAACUAACAACUUAAAGGUCGAGUACAAUAUCAUAAUGCCCACUUAGUUGUUCAACUAAUUAAGUGCAACAUGCUUAACUUCACAAUUUGUCUCUACCAGGUAAUAGGUCAUAUUUGCCCUUGUCUAAAAUAGAUACAUUAGUUGCCAUGCAAGUUGAACUCAUUAAUUCUACUAACUAUAUAAGGUCCCAUAGAACAUUCAUUUACUCAUCUCUAUUAUACAUUCUAAUGUUGCAUAGGAGGAAAUACAAUUACAUGCUAUUUAGUGUACAAAUCCACAUUUUAAGCCAUCUACUACAUAGAGUAUGAAAACUUCUAUAUGUAACAUGAGUGUAUCAAGUAUUCGAAAAUUCUACCAUAUCAUAACUAGUAUGAAUAUGAAUCAACUUUUGUCUUAUAGCAAUAUAGAAGAUAUAGAGGGCGUUCAUCCAUUUCGGUGAAACCUCGUUCGUUUCUCCGACGAAGUUGUCUCCAUGACUUCUAGCACCCUAAGAAAAAUUUCAAGGGGAUUAUAAGCUUCUAAUAAGCUCACAAUGAAAUUCACCAAAAAUCCAAAAAAAAAUAGGUGAAAAUUAUCUUUGAUCAAGUAGAACUUAUCUGAAAUCCAAAUCAAAGCUAGGAAGCUCCAAAUCCAACCUAAAAUAGUGUCUACGCUCAUCAAUUAGAUUCCAAAAGCUUUGCUUCAUGAAAUUCCAAAAUAAAUCCUAGUUUUCUCAAAACUAGAUUUUCUUCCACAAAUCUUGCAAAAUUUACAAUUAAAUGUUGCAAAAAAAGUACUAACCUUAAUAGAAGCUCGAAAUCAAGCUAGAUAAUGCUAGGGUUGGAGUUAACUUCUCAAACAAGCACUUUUCUUCACUCCCAAGCCUCUUUCAAGGCCCAAGUAGCAGCUUUCAUAAAGAGGAAGAAGAAAAAGAGAUCAAAACCUAAACUCAAAAGAGUUUGGAGAGAAAAAUCUAAGAGAAAUAGAGGGAGUACUCACUUUCACUCUCUCUAUCCUCAGCACAAGAUGAACAAAUGAGGGCUUGAGGGGUUACUUAAUAUGAUGUAACAAUUUUGUAACACACUGGACCUUUGCAAAUUGCGAGGUUCGAGUGUUUGAAUGUAUUUCGAGCUUUUCCACACUUGGUGGAGGGUUGGGGAAUAUUUUUCGACCUAAAAAGUUCGAAAACUUGGAUUCUGGACAAGUCCUGAGAGUUUUUACUCUCGGAGACCGGUCCCUGAAAGGAGAGACCGGUCCCCCAGUGAGCAGUGUUGCGGCAGCCUUGAGGCAACCGGUCCCUGGCAGGCGAGACCGGUCCCCGAGCGCGCUUACGCAGUGAGAGACCGGUCCUGCACAGGGAGAGACCGGUUCCCGAACGUUGGUUUUUCAGGUUCGCAGCGAGAGACCGGUCCCUGCUGGGGAGAGACCGGUCCCUCUGGGCGAAAACUGCCCAGUUCGGGCUGAUGUAAAUUUGAGUUUUUAGAGGGCCUCACUGGAUUUUGUUACACUAGAUGGGCUUAUUAGCCAUUCCACCCUCUUUCCUUCCUUAUUUCCUCAUUCUCAUCCUCUCCCUACACUUUCUAGAGAGAGAAUAAGAAGAAGGAGGAAGAGAAGAGAAGGAGGAGCUUGCUUGAGGAGGCUUGGAGCUUCACCCCUUUCCCCCUUUCCAAGGCUUGGAGCUUGCUUGUAGAGUUUGGUGGUGGACCAAUCUUCAACCCUAGAAGAUUUGGAGCUUGUUUGGAGGCAUCUUGGGAGGUUGUACUUGGAUUCUACCCUUUGAUCCUUGAUUUGGUAGGUUUUACCAUAUGGAACCCUAGAUUGGAUAUUAGAGUUGAUUUUUGGGGCUUUUUGAUCUAGGGCUUUUGAGGCUAGAUUGAUUGGAUUAGAACCUUCCUUUGGCUUGGAUUGGAAGGGAUUUAGCUCUCUUUUGGAGCUUGAGAGAGAUUUCCUACACAUUAGGUGAGUUUUAGCCCUUUUGCUAAGUUUGUUAAAGUUUGAUCUCAUAGUUGAUCGUAAUGCCCGUGUAUCUCUUCGCUCGAUUCUUUUAGGGUAUUUUGAGACUCGUGGACAAUUUCGUUCGGCGAAUCGAGGGAGCACGCGACGGUUCGGUGGGUUUGACCUAACCACACAAUGAGAAAAUCUCAUUGUUGACGAUUUAAGUGUUAUAAAAUAAAAAAGCAUGCAUAUUCUUGUUAUAUGUAUUUAUUGUAAAUUUUAGAAUGCUUAAAAUGCUUAUGUUGCAUAUAGUAAAAUUUUGGGCCUCUAUGUAGUAGAGAGCAUGCAUGUGUGAUAUAACAUUCUGGUUGAGAUAUGAAAUUAAGAUCCCUACUAUGAAAAUGAACCUUGCUUUCAUGCAUUUAGCUUAAUUGCCAAUUGUGACAUUAGGAAUUUUUGGAAGCCUAGAGAGGCUUGAGGACUUAGGCUAUUUGAGAGAUUGGGCCGAUGUCAUAAAGAGGCAUUGGGCCCGGGCUAAAGUAAACCUUGCUAGUAUUGUUUUAAUUGGAAUAUGGAACAAGAAUUGGGCUUGAUCAGUGUGAUGCUUAAGUGUCAUAAAGAGGCACUAAGCAAGUGAGUGUUGGGACAUCACUUAGAGACAUUGGGCUAGAUUCUUAGGAUGCUAGUGACCUUGCCAUGUUAGAGACAUGUGGAUAGAGUAUUUGAGACAGUGACCUUGCUUGUUUGCCAUUUGUGCUCAUUCGCACAUGCUUGUGUGGGUCGCUCCCCACAAGCCGGCACUCCGGAGUUAGCCUACGCGACUUAUGUUCGCUCGUGCGGUAUCGAGAAGCCUACGGGGUCGAGUGGGACAGACACAUUCCAAGAGUAGGGAUGUUGGGCUACCACAGGCACUUAGGCGGCACAAGCUGGACUACCUUGGGUAGGUCCCUAAUUGGAAAUGGAAACCGACACAGUAUUGAGUGUGUGACAGUCACUACUAGAUAGAGAGUAGUAGUUGGAUUACUUGGGUUUGCUUCUAGCAUAGUGUUGGACACAUGAGUAUGCAUAUAUACAGGUUGUAUGCUAGGAGAUGUCGUUUAUUGCCUCCUUACAUGCAUUGUAGUCAUGAUAAAGUAUCACUUUCAUAACUUCAUAAAAUAUCUCAUGAUAUCCCAUAUGGCCAUGUAGAGGCAUAGUAUUCAUGACAAGGUAAAGGUGCAUUAUAUAAAUGCCACAAUGAAUUGCAAUGCAUUAGUGUAGUUUUUAAUUAUGCUUUCAUAAAUGCAAUUUACUCAUUGUCAUUAUUUCAACUGCUUUUUGACUUACCCUUUCUUUUGGGGCCUAGUGGUGCAUUGAGCUGAGGUCAGUAAUUGUCUACUGGGAACUAUAAAUUAUAGUUCUCACGCCCUCUGUUUUGUGUUUUCUUUCAGAGCCUUCCACGCCGGGAGAGGCUAGGGACCGAGGGAAGGGCGUGGCAUCGAGCUAGCUCUUCAGCGAGUGACGAGUCGCUAGGUGGUCUACCUCUCGAUGUUUUUAUUUUGGAGAGGUUGAGAGCUGCACCAGUGUACUAGAGACCACCUUUUUGUGUACCUUUGAGACAGAUAUUGCACUACUUUAUGGCUACUUUUAUUGUCUAGCUUUAUUUCUUUACUUUGGUGUAGAUGAUAGAACUUUGCUCGCUCUGAUAUCAUUAGUUGCUAGUUAUUUUACUUCUUUUUUUAUUUGUUCUAUCUCCUGCUUUACUUCUGCUUUCUAUUGUAGACGCCUUGUAAAGUGACUUUCAUAUUCACUUUCGCAAACCAAACAGCCGAUUAUGUGUCACUUUUUAAAAGUGCCACUUUCGAUGCUUCACUUUCGGCGAACCAAACAUUCCCUUAGAGAGAGAGAGGAGAUGAAGGUGAGAGAGAGGAAAAUGGGCAAUGAGUUAGGGUAACAGCGAAAAACCCUUUUAUAGGGUGUUCUACAAUAGCAACUAAACCCCCUGAAUAUUUGUAUUUACAUAUGAAUAAAUAGCUCUCCGCACGCUAGGCUUCGAGCACCUGCUUGAACUUUUGGGCGCCCACCUGAAUUUUCGAGUGCCUACUUGAACUUUGGGCGCCCACCUAAACUUCUAGGCGCUCGAAUCUGUUGUAGCUGCGCUCGGUUGAGAAACUGGAUACCCAAAGGAUCCACCCGUUUCACAAUCUGAGUGCUCGAAGUGGGAGUUAGGGGCUUGAUUGUCUAAUUCUCUGCAUGAGGGGUGCUCUCAGGUUGAGCGUUCGAAUGAUGUAUCGGGCGCUUGCGAGAGAUUGUCUGAAAGGUAUUUUGAGCACCCGCAUAGGAUUUCGGGAGUUCGAAUUCUUAGUCUAGCAAAAUUCUCUCUUAGGUUGGGAGUCCAAAAGCUGUCCAGGCACCCGCUAGUAGGGUCUGAAACAAUAUAUGGGCACCAGCAGUGCAAUUGGAGCGCUUGAAAGCUGGACUCUUUGGCAGCUAGCUCUUUAGAAGAGCGUUAGGAGGAUUUAAGCACAACAAUGUACCAUUUGGAAGCCAAGGGCACCCGAAGUCCUGUUUCGAGCGUCAGAAUUGAUUUAGAACUCAGUUUUCUGAGUUUCAGGACUCUAUUUCGAUUCGAGUCAUUUUCAAUUCAAUCCAAACUUGAUUUAAACAUCUUAGAACUCAUUUUAAUCAUGUUUAGUAUGACUCAAUUCGUAUUUUAUCAAUUUUAGCCAAAUUUUGAUAUAUUACACGUACACUCUCAGUUAAGCCCAAGCCCAGCCGGCAGCUCGGCUAAAUCCAAUAAGCCGAGGAGUCCACAUUCUAGCCGAGAGGCCCAUUUACCAUAUUAAUAGUUUUUAUAAUUUAAUCCCAUAUUUUUUUCAAUUUACAAUGUCGUAUAGUAUAAACUAGUGUAGUAACCCGUGCGUUGCGACGGGUAGAUACUAUUAAAAUAAAUUUAGCGUCUAACUAAUAUAUCAAAAAUUUAUUAUUAUUUUAAAAAUCAAAAUAGCCCAAGCAUAUUGGCUUCUUGUAAAAGUAUAUUAAUUUGCUAAAGUUGAUUAGUAACAAAAUGUUCAUAGAAAGAUAAUAAGUAUGUUAACCUAUUGAGACGAAAAAUGACAUACUAUUUGGGAGAGAUUUAGAUAAAAAAUCUAAUAAAAAUUAACAUUUUAUAAAUCAAAACAAUCAAAGAGUUAAACUUUUUUUGUUUAAGUUAUAUUUUUAUUCCAUCAUUUUCUAUAUAAGCUAAGAUACUUAUCCCUUCAAGAAAAUGAAGACCUUUUUAGAUCAUAUAUCAAUCUAAUUUUAUAAACAGUUUAUAUCAGUUAAUAAAAAGAGUCAUGAAAAUAGAAAAAAAAAAAGCAUAUGAAAAGUUAUAUAAUAAAUUUUUAAGAGACAAAAAGAUAUACAACCUAACACAACCAAAUACAGUAAAUAUAAUGCAGAACUUUACUUUCGAGAAAAAAAUAUAAAAAAUAAAUGAUAGAAAAAGAAAAAAUAAUAAAUCUUCAACAAAACAAACACAUCAGUUUGAAUACCAUACAAAUAAAAAAAACUUAAAAAAACUGAAUAAAACUAUCUAAGAACUUUUAACGAUACAACAUAAAGAAUACAUUAAUCUUUUAAACUAACUCCUGAAAUUUGAAGGAAAGCUCAAUUUGAUGAAGAUGGUAACGCUAAGCUCGACGAUGCAGCGUGCAAACUUAUACUCCAUCUACAUAACGUGCUUGAUCUUAGCCUCGGAGCUCAUGGAGGAGGAAAAGAAAAUAGAGAAGAAGAGAAUUGGGCUUUUCGUAGGUUUCUACGAUUUACUGUUUAGAUUAUGAUUAAAAUAGGUGAACCAUUAAUUAGAUGUUAUGUUUGUAGGAAAGGUGAAGGGUUGGAUUAAGGUGAGUGGACUAUUAAUUAAACGUUAUGUUUGUAGGAAAGGCGAAGGGUUAGAUUAAGGUGAGUGGGCUAUUAAUUAGAUGUUAUAGGUGGAGGGAAGAAUUAGAUAUUAUAGGUGGACGGAAGACGACGUUAUGUGUAUAGGAAAGGUGAAGGGUUAAGUUAAGCUUAGUGGACUAUUAAUUAGAUGUUAUAUGUGAAGGGAAGCCGAAAAGUUGGUUUCGCUAAAGGAAGGAAACUCCGCCACGUGGCUUUUUUUUUGGGAAAUAAUGUAUAGGUAUAGAGGUAUAGAUAUAUACGGCUACAUAUAAUUAGGGUCCAUUUAGUCUAAAUUUUAGAAAAGUAAUUUUUAUAAAAUUGAUUUUGCUUAAAAGCUAUGAAAUAUUUGGCUGAGUUUAGAUGAAAAGCGAAUUUUUUAAAAUAAUUUUAUAUUGCUAUAUAGCAAAAUUUUUGAUAUUUCAAAUAAUAAUUUUUUUAUUGAAUUUUAUUUUUAAAAUAGUUUAAAAUUUAAAUUUAAAUUAAAAAUUUGAAUUUAAAUUAAAUUAAAAAUUUGAAUUUAAAUUUUAAAUUUAAAUUUGCACAAAAAUUUAAAAUUUGUUAUUUUAAUUUUAAAAUAUAAGUUUGAAAUGCAAAAUUUAAAAAUUUGAAUUUUUAAAUCUAAUUUUAAAUUUUCAACAUCAAAUCUAAAAUCUAAAUUUGAAAUGUAAAAUUUAAAAUUUGAUUAUUUAAAUAUAAAACUUCAAAUUUAAAAUUUAAGAUAAAAAUUUAAAAUUAAAAUUUUGAAUAUUAAAAAUUUAAAAUUUGUAAUUUGAAAAUUAAAACUUAUAAUUUUACAUUUUAAAUUUUAAAUUCUAAAAUUUUUAAAUUUAAAUUUUUAUCUUAAAUUUGAAAUUUGAGAUUUGAGAUUUAAUAUUUAAAAUUUAAUAUGUAGAUUAAAAUUUCAAAAGUUGAAAUUUAAUAUUUAAAGUUUAAAGUCGAAGUUUAAAAAUUUAAAUAUAAGAUUUAAAAUUUAAAAUUAAAUUUAAUUAAAAUUUAAAAUUUGAAUCUAAAAUAAAAAAAAAUUAAAAUUUGAGUUUAAAAUUAGAAUUAGACUUCAAAAAGUAAUAAUUUGGCCGUCAAAAAAUUAAAAAACUAAUUUUAAAAUUCAUAUUUAAAAAAAUAGAUUAUCGCUUCUUCAACCCAAAAUUAUUUUUGAACUUAAAAAUUAAAAUUAUUUUUUCAAAACGCUAGCAGGCCAAACACUCUGAUCGGGGUAGAUGGACUGAAAUGGAUCAUCUCUUCUCCCCAGCUUCUCUCUUUUAAUCAUCUCAAUUCCUCCUCUCGUCACGUUGUUACAACUCCGUUGCCCUAUCUCCUCCUGCAUCCUCUCGCCUCCACUUCUCUUCUCUCUAACCCUCUCCUUGUACCUCCGCUGCUGCCGUUACAGAGUAGUGAUGGACGCCCUGAGGGUAUGGAGGGCUUCUUCCCACCUCAUCGGCUUCGCCUCCAUGGCCGCCGCCGCCGCCGUCCCCGCCACCUCCAGGAUCAGAUUCAGAUUCCUCCAAGUCCGGUGCUGCUCCGCCGCCGCCGCCCCUGCCACUCCAGCCCCUGCCGGCAACGCCGCGACCUCGGACCGCAGCCGCCGCCGGAGUUCCUCCUCCACUUCCGACCGCGAGUCCGUCCGCGCCAUUCGGCUCAAGAAGGCCAGUCUGCGCUUUCCUUUAUUAGAACUUUCCUCCUUCGUUGCAAGGAUUUAACUGCUGCAGUACAGAGUCGCCAAAAAUUUGUCGGCAUGAUAUGGCACAUGAUAUGGCACAAUGCGUGCUAGGCCUAAUCGAUAAGCGUGGAUCAUAAAAAAUACAUAUACGUCGACACAUAAUGAUAUAAAAUAUUUAUUUUUUUAGCGAUAAAAAUUUUUUAGUUGCUUAUUAUUAUGUAUUUCUAUCAAAUCUUUUGAAUUUUAUUACGAAAGUUACUUGCUAAUUUAAAGAAAAGAAGGUUUUGAGCUGUGUUAUCUGCACGGAGGCUUUAUCGUACCGAUAUCUUGUUGGCACAAUACGACACGGUGGAUACGAUCCGUGCCGAUAAGCACUUAAAUCCUUGCUUUGUUGUCUUCUUCAAUUUUAGUUAUGAUUUGUGGGUCAAAAUUACUUCACUUUUGCCAGUUCCUGUCAAACUUCUGUUGUUAACCUGUACAUGGUUUGUGUUAAUGACUGUGGUAAAGUUUACUUCUUACUCUUGCUUCUUUUACAUUCUCUGAUUUCAAAAGUUGAAAACAAGAUGGCACAGUAAGGACAUAUAUGCUGUAUUAGGUUUUGAUUCCUAGAAUCCAAGUAAAAUACAAAAUAAUAUGAAGUGAUUCAAAAUGUGCUUCUAAAAUAUUGUUUCCAAAAUAUUUAGACCUAUGAGUAAUUGAGAAAAUAAUUUGUUUUUCUUUGAUAGUUUUGACUACUAGAAAUAUAUUAUAAAAGGGCCAAAAAACAAGCCUUUAGUUAUUAGAUCCUGGGAUGUCUACAAGAAAUUGUCUUUUUUUUUUUGCUAGCUUUAUCUAUUGCAAAGUCUUAUAUUAAGUCUUAUCAUUGUUUUGUGCACUACCUCCUAAUAAACUUUGGAUCUUCUUUUCUCCUACCAAGAUUGAUAAAACAAUAUUUUACUUAACGAUGCGCGUUAUAUUUGAUACUAGCUUUAAUCCUGUGCAAUGCACAGAUAGUAAUUAAUCUCAACUAUAUAAAAAUAAAUUAAUCUUAGAAUUUAAAUUUUAUUUUAACAUAUAUCAUUAGUAGAUUAAUAGAUUAAUAACUAUAUUGUAAUUUACGGAUUCUUUAUCAAUUUGGCUCAUCUCUGACUUGCAUUAUCAUGACAUCCUAGCAUGUUUUCGUGCUAGUACAUCUUUCUGGAGUAUGUUUCAGAAUAACUGAAAAAAUGUACUAACGCUACCUGAAUGGCUGAAUUACAAGCCGUUUGCAAAUGGAUUUUUGAACAUUAAAUUAAGUACCUAACCUUCCUAAAGUAUUUAUAUCAAUACCUAUUCCCAACAGCUCGACAAAUUAUUGCAUGCACCUUGUGCAUCCGUGCAUCGCAUUGUCAUCUUCCCUCCAUCCCAUCCCAUACUUUCACUCAACCAUCCAAAUUUUAAAUGAAGUGAAGGCCGCAAUUCCACUGGGCGGUAGAGAUUGAAGUAUGAGGCAAAAAGGAGGUAGAUGGUAGAUCUGUGCAUAUAUGUACAGAUGUGGUGGGUGCAGUUAAUAUUUUCUUGAGUUUUGCAGAUAGCGUUGGGGUAAUCAAAGCAUAAUUUUAAAAAGGUUAGAUAUUGAAAUUUAAAGAAAGUUCAGGUAACCAAGUUGCCAACGGUUCAUAAUUUGGGCGGCUUUUGAUCAUCUUUUGCCUUAAAAUAAUUUACAAUGACUGCAAUUAUGGACAUGAUGAGCUAGCACUAUUUCAUCCCAAUAGAAACACAUACUUUACCUUUUCUGAGGUGGGAUUUUGUGGAAAAUUUUGCUGAUAUAGUUUUGCACCAAAUAAGUUUAUCAGACCGUCGGGUAAUUUAGAAAAGGUAGUGAGUUGGUUAAAAUAAAACAUGAUUUUGACGUUGCGAAAUGAGUUAAUAGGUUUGAUGACUCAUAUUGAGUUGUUUACAUUGACUUUGUUUUAUUAAAUUGGCUUAAGUGGGUUGUGUUGCGCCAACCCCACAUGACCCAUUUAUAAUAGGUUGCAGUUGCCAUGUGACAUGUUAUAUUAGUCAUGUCACCCCCGAGUUUAAUUUUUUGACCUAUUUUAGUACUUGAGUUACACUUUGGACCAAAUUAUACGUUAGAAUCUUAGUCAUAUGCACUUGAUAGAGUUUUUUGGGGACAAUAUAUUCAAGUGACUGUCUGAACUAGAAAUGAUAAAAGUAGUUUGGUAACAGUCCAAAAAUAAUAGCAAUUAUAAAAUAUCAUGCUAAACUGAAUAUCUA
rnacentral:lncRNA from 1 species